rnacentral:rRNA from 1 species
AUUGAACGCUGGCGGCAUGCCUUACACAUGCAAGUCGAACGGCAGCACGGGAGCAAUCCUGGUGGCGAGUGGCGAACGGGUGAGUAAAGUAUCGGAACGUGCCCAGUCGUGGGGGAUAACGUAGCGAAAGUUACGCUAAUACCGCAUACGAUCUAUGGAUGAAAGCGGGGGAUCGCAAGACCUCGCGCGAUUGGAGCGGCCGAUAUCAGAUUAGGUAGUUGGUGGGGUAAAGGCUCACCAAGCCGACGAUCUGUAGCUGGGCUGAGAGGACGACCAGCCACACUGGGACUGGGACACGGCCCAGAAUCCUACGGGAGUCAGCAGUGGGGAAUUUUGGACAAUGGGCAAAAGCCUGAUCCAGCAAUGCCGCGUGCAGGAUGAAGGCCUUCGGGUUGUAAACUGCUUUUGUACGGAACGAAAAGGUUUGGGCUAAUAAGCUGAGCUCAUGACGGUACCGUAAGAAUAAGCACCGGCUAACUACGUGCCAGCCGCCGCCGUAA